rnacentral:rRNA from 1 species
GGUUGAUCCUGCCAGUAGUCAUAUGCUUGUCUCAAAGAUUAAGCCAUGCAUGUCUAAGUAUAAGCAUUUAUACUGUGAAACUGCACAUGGCUCAUUAAAUCAGUUAUAGUUUAUUUGAUGGUACCUUACUACAUGGAUAACCGUAGUAAUUCUAGAGCUAAUACAUGCACAAAGUCCCGACUUUCACGGAAGGGAUGUAUUUAUUAGAUAAAAAACCAAUGCGGGUUCUGCUCGCUUUUGUGUUGAUUCAUAAUAACUGUUCGAAUCGCAUGACUUCACGUCGGCGAUAGGU